CACACGUGCACACACAUGAAUGUGCACACAUGCAUGUGCACACACACAUGCAUACUCUCUCUCUCUCAGAUGGAAUAAAUGCAUGGCACCUCUUUCUUCAUAUCAUGCCUGUCUGUUUUGCUGCCUUAACCUUUGAGUCACACUCCACUAAUCUCUGCGUGGAGACAGGUGGAUCAUCAGAAAUGUUUUGCUCAAGACCAGGUAAACUUGACUAUUGUCUACGGAAGCAGACGUGUUUCUCUAGCACACUCUAUGCUUUCUCAGCAGUUUAAGCAUCUAUAGUCCCUGGCCUAAUCCAAAGGUCCAGACUAACCCAUGAUAUUUAUAGAGCAGCCACUAGAUGUUACCAGAGUCGUUGAGGUCAAAUCCUGGGCCCUGCCAGUGUUAACCCGGAGAUUCCAAAUUUUGAGCCAAAUUUGAAGCAAGCUUUAAUUAAAUAAUGACCAGGAUGGACUUUGGCCAGGACCACUCUCUAGAAUUCCCAACGAAUGUUGACUAGACAUGUGUUCAGGGGCUUUUCAUGACAAAACUAUCCAGCCACUGUAUUUCCUCACACAGCUUUGGUAUUUUCCAAGAACUACAACUCCUACAUUCCAGGAAGUUGCCUUUUAUAUGUGGGAGCAUUUGCCUGCUUGUAUGUAGUGUCUCACGUGCAUGCCUGGUGCCAACAGAACUCAGAAGAGAACAUCGGAUUCCCUGGCACUUACAGAGGGUUGUGAGUCACCACAUGGGUGCUGGGAACCGAAACCAGGUCCUCUGCUAGAGCAACAAGCACUCUUAACUGCUGAGCCAUCCCUCAGUCCCAGAAGUUUGGAUGUGAAUAGAAGGCUACUGCAUCCCAUGAGGCGAUUGUCAAGGGAGGUUUUGAAUCCUGCGUCCCACGGAGUAGACUGAUUCUGCAGUCAUAGCAGCACUUGGCCAUGCUGGACUGCUUCCACAGAGGCAAACCUGCUUCACGACAUGACAGAAUACAGAACUUUGGCUCAUGCUCUGCCUGGGUGGGCCAGCCCUAGAAAUGCCCAUGAUUGGAAUAUCUAUUCUUUUUCUUGUUGCUGGAAGAAAGCACCUGACAGAAGGCACGUAAGAGGAGAAGGGUUUAUUUUGGUUUAUUUUUGUGGGGAGUCAAGGCAGAGUCCACGGUAGCAGGGACCUCCAGAGCAGAAAUGGAAUGAAUGCUGGUGAUCAGACGACUUCUCUUUUGACUUCGAAUCCAUGCCAGGGACUGCAGCCCAUGGUGUGGUGCCACCAACGGCUAGGGUAGGGUCUUUGCUUCUAUAUUAGGAUUCUUUGACAGCUCCUCAGAUAAUCUUUUGAGGAAACACCCUCUCAGGCUUACCUUGAGGUGUGUCUUCUGGGUGACUCUAAGUUUCCUCAAGUUGACAAGAUGAAGCAUCACACCAAGCACAUAAAAUAUAUCAUUGUUCCCAAAUGAAGUUAGCUUCAAUCUCAGGAGGUCAUUAGUGGGGCUUCUACACAGAAGGCACCAGCACACAAGGCACAAUGAAGAAGGAUUCCUCUCCGUCUUGCCUCAUUACAUGGGGCCUUGGGGAACAAGACUGGGACUGUAGAGUAACAAGAUAUAAAUGAAAGGCAGAUUUCAGAAGGAGGAGGAGGAAGAGGAGGAGGAGGAGGAAGAGGAGUUGCUUGAGCUAGAACAGCACUCAAGAUAGAGCUACUGCUGGGUGAGUCUCUAACAUCAGGUCAGAUUUCUAACCAGGAAAGACACAACUGAGAGACAGAAGCCAGAUAACAGGUCAACAAAGCAGAUAGCAGAGGUCAACAUACCACCCUUCUUAAUGAUGCUCCUGGUCGUUAAGAACGUGUCUGCAGAAUACAGGCAUGUGAUGGUAGGAGCGAAACAGGAGUCAAGGCAAUGGCUUUCUAACCUUCUAAUCCCAGCCACGGCUGUUGACUGUCAGGCGCCAUGCUAUUAUUGCCUCUGCAUCUGGACUAACACUGGAAGCUGCUGUCCACACUUAGGGUGGACCUUCUCCUGUCAAUUAAUCCAAGCCAGGACACCUCACCAAUGUCCCAACAACUUCCUAUUGCUCUACUCCAGAUCUAGUCAAAUUGACAACUAAGCGGGGGUGUGGGGGUGGGGGAAGAACCACAGGAGCACACCAGUGCUUGGAAGCAGCUCUUGGGUGUACUGUUGGAGAACAACUAUAGUGUGUUGCCACAGGCAUCCACAGCACAUCACUGCACAGAAGCAGUACUCUGUAGAUGAAGCCAACCUGCUUCCAUCGACGUAGACUGGAAAUAACUGCCUUCAGUAGGGAAUGAGGAAAAGUUUUAAUUUGUAAUUUACACAUCCAUCUCAAAGUAGGGGGAGUGGCGUUGAAGUGUGCAUCUAACAGCCUGACAGAGCUCACCUGAAAAGGCAGUCACACAUGUAUUCCAAGAAUGUCCUGAGGAAUUUUGACAACUCAACCAGUAUAACUGAGCCAAUGUUUAUUGAGUAUCUGCUUUGUUUCCAGCUCUGUGGAAAGUCCUGGCUUGCCGGGAGCCAUGGUCUCAGCCAUGUCCUUGUGGAUAUUUUCUAGCUUACAUAAACAAUCCUGAAAGGACAUUCCUGGUCAUAACAGUAAGAAU